rnacentral:rRNA from 1 species
UGGGGAAUAUUGCACAAUGGGCGGAAGCCUGAUGCAGCGACGCCGCGUGGGGGAUGACGGCCUUCGGGUUGUAAACUCCUUUCGACAGGGACGAAGCGCAAGUGACGGUACCUGUAUAAGAAGCACCGGCUAACUACGUGCCAGCAGCCGCGGUAAUACGUAGGGUGCGAGCGUUGUCCGGAAUUACUGGGCGUAAAGAGCUCGUAGGUGGUUUGUCGCGUCGUCUGUGAAAUUCCGGGGCUUAACUCC